GUGAAUCAUCGAAUUUUUGAACGCAAAUUGCACUCUCCGCGGAUAGUAUGCCUGUUUGAGGGUCAGCCUAUAAAAAAUCGACAUCGGUUCUAUUUCGGGUUGGCGUUCGUCGUAAAGUGGGUCAUCGUAAAUCCUGUUUGUAUAAGCGACUUAAAAUUUUCUUUUGGUUCCAUGAACGGUUCUAAGAUCGAUUGCUUGACACGUUUAGGGUAUCGAUUUUUACUAGACGUGACCAUCAUAUC
rnacentral:misc_RNA from 1 species